rnacentral:lncRNA from 1 species
GUAUUCUGCACGGACUGCUGGGCAGCACUAGCACUCUGGAGAAGGUCUGCCGCUGUCUGCACUUUCCUGGUUCUAUGCAGGCAGAUGAGUGUCACAGCUGUAACUGAGGCACAGAGCAGUACACACAGUGGAGCCGAUUUCCGCGAUGGCGAGAGGGGGCACCGGAGGUGACAACAAUAACAAGACUGUCCUUCGGACAAGUUUUAGAUUCUCAGGAUGAUGGAGUGAGUGAUGGAAUAGGUUGCCAACUGUAGUUACUCCACUCAGCACAGAAUGGCUGCGGGGAAAUAUAAUCAGACAUGCCCAAAGAAGUCUGCUUAGGGUGAAACAAAUACCUUUGAGGUUUAAAUCAGAAAGGAAGGAGAGACUGUUUCUACAGGUGUCAUACAAAAAUCAAUACUGAGCCAAGGAUUAUUGGAUCCCAUAGAACCACGGAGACUUGGUAGUGAAAUUCUUCCAAAGGCAGAUGGUGUUCCUAGGUUUGGAAAUAUAAAUCCCAUGGGAAGUCAGCUGAAGACCAUUUUAUGCAUCACUCAUCCUGUUAGAGCCCUGUGCUGUUCUGUCUCUCUAUAAGACUGGCUGAAACCACCACGGUUGUUUACAAUUUAUGCUCUAACUUUGGAUCACCUAGUUAAUACUCUAACUCCGAUUAUUACCAAAGACAAUGUUCUAUAAAAGAUAUUGUCUAUUAGAAGGAUGCUUCUGCAUUAUUAAUAAAAUCACAGGGAAAAUGCAACAUUUUGGAUGUCACAUCUGAUAAGUUGGCAGUUAAAGAACAGAAACAGCAAUAAGACUGCGUGGCUACAUUUUCCCAGUGCCACCAACUGGGAUUUAAGCUGACUAACAUUUUGAAAGCCCAGCCCAUUUCAUUCACAGCAGGAUGGCAGUGGGUGACUGAUCGUACCCGCCAGCUGGCUAAUGUCAUAAUUAACAAAGUUGCUACUACAUCUGCAAAGUUUAAUCGAAAAAUUUGCCAGUGAUAUGAUGGCCUUGUCACAGAGAUCACAAGGGACACGGAGUUGACUUUUGCUCAAGGUGGAACGACAGAGCUGUGUAGGCAAGAUGAGAAAUUGCGAACUUGUUCGGCCAAAGGAGGCUAAUAAUGAAGGGGCCGGGAAGGAGGCCAGUGCUACCAGGGUUAUCUCACAACCUCAGAUGCUGGAUAAGUCGACGGAGGCAGAAUCGCUUUGGGAUGACAUUCAGAAAGCCUGGAGUGAUUACUUGCAAGAGAAAAGCCUACCUAUUCUUUCCAAGGUGCAGGAAUAUUCCCCUGACCUGCUCAUCCAGUGGUCCAGUAAUGAAUUACUGGAGACCUGCCUUAGACAAAGAAUGCACUCGGAGCCCCAACACACCUAAAGCCAUGCUUUGAAGGAUCUGCCAAGCUCACUUUUAAUCAUGAGAAAGAAAUUACCCACACGGAGUCAGCAGAAAAUGAGAAAGUAGAGCUCGUGCUGUGAAUAAUUCCAGCAAGUGCCAAGGGGCUAGUUGAGGAAUGGCUUCAUGAGAACAUGCUCUAGGGGAACUAUUAAUAGCCCACCAGUCGGGUAGGCAGCAUUCAAUCCUUCUAUGCCUUCUUUCGCCACCUGUUGAGGUCUUUCUUCUGAAACAAAGAAGAAAUAGACAAAUCAGACUUGCCCUCUUGGAAAUGUGGUCCAGAUUUCUCUACUCCCAAGCUCCAAAAAAGAUGUUAGUCUAAAACAGCACCUUGGAUCUAAGCAGCACCUUUGAGAAAGAAAAGACUGCUUCAAGAAUGUCUAGUUGCACCUCCUUUCCGUAUGUGGCCUAAAUGCCUAGGUUGGAUCAAUAGUUUAAUUUUUUUAUUGAACUGUUUAAUAUUGACUAUGGACUUACAUUCACUUUUACUGUUUUCUGUAUAUUUACUUUUGCUUGAAGUGUUUUAAUAUUGACUAUUUACCUCUGCUCAUUUUUAUUGAUUUUCUGUAUUUUUUCAAUGAAAAUUAUAAUAAAAAUUAUUUUUGUUA